rnacentral:misc_RNA from 1 species
AACGCACCUUGCGCUCCUUGGUAUUCCGAGGAGCAUGCCUGUUUGAGUGUCAUUAAAUUCUCAAUCUUCACAACCUUGUGUUGAUUGGAUGUGGGAGUCUAUGUAGGAUGUAAAGUUCUACUCUCCUAAAAUAUAUUAGCUGGAAUGCCUUUUGCAAACCAACUAUCAGUGUGAUAAUUAUCUAUGCUGGAGUUGCUGCAUAAAAGGGAAUCUGCUUCUUAACUGUCCUUUGAGACAAUAUGAACUAUUUUGACCUCAAAUCAGGUAGGACUACCCGCUGAACUUAA